ensembl:lncRNA
GUGAGUCAGAGGGAGGUUGGAAAGGGCUGUGCUCUCAACCUUCCUCCCUGCUUACGCAUCUCUCAGGAGAAGGCCACAGGAGCCGGAGCCCUGGUGCACAGCCAGGCCUGGCAGGCGGCUGCUAGGGAGCUGGGUUCCAGAUGCCUGAGUCCUGGUGGUGGGAACUCUUUGGACCUUGUUUGAUAGCUCCUGCUGGAGAAAGCCAGCCUGGAACACAGCUCCUCUUUAGAGAGAAAGAAUGUUCUCGGCUUGCCCUUUCCGGGAUGAGGCGGCUGGCCCGGUGGAGACAUAGCAAUCACAACAGAUUAAAUUCAGCUCUUGUUCAUUUUACUACCUGUGCCCAGGGGCCCGAGGAUUGGUUACAAUUUUGGUUUUCAUUUUCUAGGCAUUUUUUGUUUUGCCUCAGAAUUUAAAAAGGCAACACGGACUUUAAAAACGACAUACAGCAAAGAGCAAGAGGAGGAGGUGGGGGCACCUUGGGAGAGAAAACUACCCGAGUCUCUAAUAUGUGUCUCCUGAGCUUCUCAUGACUGGCAUUCCACCUCUGACCUGUUUCUGUCGUCUCCAAUUACUGGAUGCAGUGCCCUCCUUUGCCUCUUGGCUGUGGUUUGGCAGGAGUGUACCUGGGCUCUGCUGUGGCUGGAGGUGGGAAAGUGGGGCCUAGAAGAGCUGGACCUCAGCUUGCAGCAGCAAGGGGUCCCUUAUCACCACGCCAGCAGCAGGGCAAUGCCUGUGGGAAGCCACUGACCAUUUCAGCACUCGGCAGUGCUAACCCAGAGGCACUGCUGCCUACUCAGUCUGUGCUACUACUGUGCAGGUUUUCUAAAAGUCUGGCAGUUAUGCUUUUUCUUUAUCAGUUAUGUUAAGAUCGGUGAAAUCUGUGGCUGCCUCCUUACUCUUAGGGGCCUUUGGAUCAUAAAGAAACAGAAACUGUGAACAUCAAGGAGCACAUAGUUAAAGGGUCUCACUCUCAAGAUCAAUACCAACUACUGCCCAGCCUUCUCUCCACUGCUUCCUGCUCCUGACUUGGACCCCAGCCUGACCCCAGUCUCCUUUAAUAGAGAGUUGAUAGGGACCAGUUUAUAGAGACACCAGCUCUAGGGACACAACUUUCUCUUGCCUUAUCUGAUUAGCGAUAAACAAAUUUCUUUCAGUUUCUCAAAAAUUUGAUAGUUCAGCAAAUAAAAUGUCUAAACAAAACUGGACUUCAAACAGAGUAUUUGCUGUCAUUGCU